rnacentral:lncRNA from 1 species
UUGCAGGGAAUAUACAUAUUUUCUUUCACGAUAAAGGACAAAAACAAAAUUCUUACUCUUCUCAAUAGCCAAUCCAUAGUUUUUCAAAAUUUCUGCAAUGGAGACAACUGUGGAGAUAGCUGCAUAGAUUAUCAAAAAAAAAGGGACCAUCAUUAAAAUGCCAUAGAUAAACAAUAUAUUAUCAGAAAGUCCCCUCUAAUUAAUUUAAAGAACAAGAUACAGAGAACUAGCAAAACAACAACAUUCAAUCACACCAGAAAUAACAUGAAUAAAGUUCCACAAGUGUCAGCUUGACAUUUAUUGAAAAUCUUUCCCACGGAAAGUAAUUUAGUGACUUCUUUAUUUGAUAAGCAAGGCUGGCUCACAUUGUAACCUGUCAUUUCCUA